rnacentral:snRNA from 1 species
AGCUUUGUGUAGUGGCAGUAUCAUAGCCAAUGAGGUUUAUCCGAGGCGUGAUUAUUUCGAAUUGAAAACGUUCCCAAUACACGGCCUUAACGACCUGCAAUAUAAUCAGCAUUGACAAUUUUUGACAGUCUCUAUAGAGA